rnacentral:lncRNA from 1 species
CAAAUUCGUAGCCCUAGUUUGGUUUGGUGGGCUUAGUGUCAGUCAGGAACACGGCGUCUUGAAUCCAAGCCCAAAGCUGCCCGGACUCUGGAAACCAACCUCAGACGUCGGUUUCGAACGAACGACGAAGACUAGGGCUUCGCCUUCUUCCGUGGCUCCGAUUCUGCCCUAGGUACGCUCUAUGGCUGCUCUUCUCUAGAUGUCGCAGGAUGAAAACUUCGAUUUAUUUUCUAUGGUCUAAUAUGAUGUGUUUGAGUGAUUUUAGCGAUUGAUUUUGAGUUGAAUUUGGUAUAAUUAGUGCUGAUUCUUGAUUUUAUUAUUUGGGUUUUUAAGGAUUAUUAGUGAGAAAAUUCUAGGGUUUUUUAGGAAGACAGAGACCUCUAAAGGCAGCGAUGUAAGCUUUAUGUUAGACACUGGUCUUCGAAGUAAUGCAGAACUUGAGCAAAAUCCUAUUGGCGUUAUGAUGACAACUCUGGCCGUACAACCAAUAAUGAUAGUUCAACCCACUGCUACAUGUGUGUUUUUCCCCCCAAUGCCUCUUUUUUUAUAAGUUAAAGGAUAGGCUUAUUUAUAGUUUGGUUUGGAAGUUUCGAGGAUUUCAUAUAAAAUAUAUUUCUUGAAUAUGAUGGAAAGCACCAAACUUUGGUCGCUGGAAAAUUUGCUGAAUUCAAUAUUGGUUUGCCAUGAAUUACAAGCAGCAGUUAUUUUUAACAGUUUGCCAUGAAUAUUGCUGAAAUCAAUAGGGUUCUGAAUUUUGUUUCCUGAGUGUGUAUCUUCUCAAAACUGAUGGAACCAAAGAGAUUCUAUUAUCAUUCACUAGAGAUUCUAUUAUCAUUCACUUCUCUGAAAUGUAUGGUUUGGGAUUUUGUAGUUGCAGGAGAAGAGGAUGAAAGUCAACAUCUUGCGUAUCCUUGUCAAUGUGUUUUCAGUUCCUUUCUUUUAAAUGCACUACCUUUAUACUAUUUAUAACUAUCGUUUAUAUUUUCCUUUUCUUUCACUUCUAUGGUGUUAACUUUGUUGCAUUUAUUUAAUCCUGGUAGAAUGAAUUUUAGUUUGAUGGUAUCAAAUUCAUAUGAUUUGGCUUCUUCAAAAAUUACUAAUUGUUGAUCGGCUUGGAAAUUUUACAUGAUCUUGUUUGCUAAUUAAUUUGCCUUUACUUGAAACGUGUUUGUUGUGAAAGGUAUUGCACACGUUUUAUAGAAAGAGUUUUCUCUUAACUGACUCUCUUUUCGAAUAUCUGAUGGGCUUUUCAAACAGAGUAUGUCCUCUUUAUCUCUUCUCUAUCUGUUAUUUUCAUUAAUCAAUUGUUGCACUUGUGAAUGUUUAUAAAUUUAACAAUGAUGUACUCUUGGAGCUCUAAUUCUUAUCCUUUUCAACCUGCAGGUGGCAUGCUGUCGCUUCAUGGACAUGGGAUGCACAAGAUGAAACAUGUGGGAUUUGCAGGAUGGCAUUUGAUGGGUGUUGUCCUGAUUGUAAGCUCCCAGGGGAUGAUUGCCCACUAAGUAAGUAGCUAACAUUAUUUGCUUGAUGCCUUGCAUAAUAUUUCAUGUUUCACCAAAUUCUGUUGCCUCUCCUAUUAUUAAAGAUCUAAGUCUGCAAUAGAGUUUCAGAUUGACCUAUGAACUUAUGAUGUUUGAGUAGUGAAGCACAUGUUGUCUCUUUACGCAUUUGGUUAUACCUUUUUUCACAUUUUUCUGUUCUGAUUUGUGUGGUUCUUGCUACUCAUUCAUAUAUAAUGACAUCAAUUCAUAUCAAUGCUUUGUUUCACAGUAGUAUGGAAUAUACAGAUCAUUGUUAAUUUACAAGCAUUGGCAUUUGGAUUUUCUCUCUUUUUCUUCAAUGAACUACCCAAAUAUGAUUCAAAUAUCUAACAGAAGAUCUUCCGCGACAUCUUAGAACAUCAUUUUACACAUGGUUUGCAAUGCACGGCUGCCAUGGUAUCUACCAAACUAACAGUCAAACCCUAUAUUCAUCUUCUAUUAUCAAGAAGGCCAACCAAAUUGCUUACAAUGCAUGCAUUUAAAGUGGGAAAGCCUUUAUUACUUUGUGCAUUGACUGACUAGAUUCAGACAUUUCAUCGUUUGCAUUAGCAGUCUGAUUUGUGUUUCUUUGUUUAUAAUUUUCAUUUGAUAUUAAUUAUUGGGUUCAUUUUUUGUACAGCUUGAUGAUAAUUUUCUAAAUUAUUCUUUUAUCUUGCAGUUUGGGGUGCAUGCAACCAUGCUUUCCAUCUUCAUUGCAUCUUAAAAUGGGUAAAUUCACAGACUUCUCAGGCACAUUGCCCCAUGUGUCGCAGGGAGUGGCAAUUCAAAGGAUGAGAUAAAAGUUGAAAUCACUCUUCAAGUGCAGGGGUUGCCAAUGCGGGCUUCUAAUUGUUUGAUUGUAUUCUGGAUUAAGUGUACACCUCUGUAUAUCUACUGUGUAUUAGUUGAUGUAAACUAAAGUAGCUCCAUACUGGGUGAUCAUAAAAAUAUUUUUUUAACUGGUAAUCUUUUUUA